rnacentral:tRNA from 1 species
UAGCUUAGUCGGUAAAGCAUCUGCCUGUCAUGCAGGAGACCAGAGUUCAACUCCUG